rnacentral:rRNA from 1 species
GACGUUUAGCAACAGAAGAAGCACCGGCUAACUCCGUGCCAGCAGCCGCGGUAAUACGGAGGGUGCGAGCGUUAAUCGGAAUUACUGGGCGUAAAGCGCAUGCAGGUGGUUUGUUAAGUCAGAUGUGAAAGCCCGGGGCUCAACCUCGGAACUGCAUUUGAAACUGGCAGACUAGAGUACUGUAGAGGGGGUAGAAUUUCAGGUGUAGCGGUGAAAUGCGUAGAGAUCUGAAGGAAUACCGGUGGCGAAGGCGGCCCCCUGGACAGAUACUGACACUCAGAUGCGAAAGCGUGGGGAGCAAACAGGAUUAGAUACCCUCGGGAG